GUAGGUGGCAAGCGUUGUCCGGAAUUAUUGGGCGUAAAGCGCGCGCAGGCGGUUCUUUAAGUCUGAUGUGAAAGCCCACGGCUCAACCGUGGAGGGUCAUUGGAAACUGGAGAACUUGAGUACAGAAGAGGAAAGCGGAAUUCCACGUGUAGCGGUGAAAUGCGUAGAGAUGUGGAGGAACACCAGUGGCGAAGGCGGCUUUCUGGUCUGUAACUGACGCUGAGGCGCGAAGGCGUGGGGAGCAAACAGGAUUAGAUACCCUGGUAGUCCACGCCGUAAACGAUGAGUGCUAAGUGUUAGGGGGGGUUUCCGCCCCCCUUAGUGCUGCAGCUAACGCAUUAAGCACUCCGCCUGGGAGUACGGCCGCAAGGCUG
rnacentral:rRNA from 1 species